rnacentral:rRNA from 1 species
CACGUAGGGGCGAGCGUUGUCCGGAAUUACUGGGCGUAAAGGGCGCGCAGGCUGUUAUGCGAGUCUGCUGUGAAAUGUACCGGCUCAACCGGUGCCUUGCGGCGGAUACUGCAUAGCUGGAGUACUGGAGAGGGAAGUGGAAUUCCCGGUGUAGCGGUGAAAUGCGUAGAUAUUCGGAGGAACACCAGUGGCGAAGGCGGCUUGCUGGGCUCUAACUGACGCUGAGGCUCGAAAGUGUGGGGAGCGAACAGGAUUAGAUA